rnacentral:rRNA from 1 species
ACAACUUUCAGCAACGGAUCUCUUGGCUCUCGCAUCGAUGAAGAACGCAGCGAAAUGCGAUAAGUAAUGUGAAUUGCAGAAUUCAGUGAAUCAUCGAAUCUUUGAACGCACCUUGCGCUCCUUGGUAUUCCGAGGAGCAUGCCUGUUUGAGUGUCACUAA